GCGCUAACUGAUGCCCUCUAAGGGCCUCAGGCGUCAGUUGCGGAAGGUCCCCUUCUGGGAGGCGCGCGGGCAGGAGCAGGAAGGGCAGGGUCCCUAAGGGUAGGUCUCGCGGCUGGGCUGGGCUGUGCCAGGGGAGGCCUCAGACCCUGCACACAGGAGCGCACCGCUCUUCCGCUUUCUCAUCGGUCAGUUCUAUUACAAAGGAAGAAGCCUAUAACUCUGGACUUCAUGGCCAAAUUCUACUCACACAUACUGUAGCUGGGACCUAUUGGCUUUUGAUCGAUGAGUCAAAUACUGUAUCCAGGCACUCAAGAAAGGCAGGCUUCCUUGUUGCUUCCUCCCCUUAUCAGGUUGAGCUCUCUAAAUGUUUUACUGAGGGUCAUAUCUAAGUGCAUGGAAUUGUUAGUUUUAGAAGUCAUAAGUGGUCGUUUCGGGCACAUUUUUACAGAUGAAUGGGUAAGAAUCCUAUCUCCAUGGAUCACACUCAAAAAGCAAACAAUAAAGAAGAUGCCAUCUAGAGGCUUGUGGGGACCAGGGGCCUACGUCUGCACCAGGGAUCGGAAGAUGUUGGACUGAACUCGGCAGUCCCAUGAAAGGGCCACCCCUCAGAACUGGAGUUCUUUCUAGAGUCAAAGAGCACCAGUGACCAGUAGCUUCAGACCCACUGGAGGAUGUCAAGUGAUCAUGGUGGUUUCAGUUGACUCCACACAUGCCUCUUACUUCCCUUGGACCCACCCUAGGACUCCUGUGUUUUAAUGCCCCAGUGAAAACUAGGAUGCUGUUCCUGCCCUAUGAAAUGCACAGCCCAGAGGAGAAACAGACACAGAAACCCUGUAGAACAGAGUGACAUGGCUGGGACAGGAUAAAGAAAAAAUGAAGCUGGACGUGACCUCAGAAAUAGUGAUGGUCAGCCCUAGGAACCUCCUUGAGACCCAGGAACACGUUGCUGGGGAAGCCUCUUUCUCUGCCCGGUCUACAUUCCCACAGAAUCUUGUCCCAAACACUCCAGCCUUCCCUGGGUUCUCUUCUUAACACUUUCACAGCAUCCAUCACAGCGUCUACACCAAGAAGGCAGUGAAGAAACAUUUGCCACAUGAAGGAACAGAUAUAGUGAGAAUGGGUUUUUAACUUUCCCCAAUAUAAAAAUGAAAUAACCUGCUAUUGGAUAAAAUUCUCCCCUCAGUGUUUACACCUAGCUGAGAGGAGAAGACAUAACUACUUGUGGCAGACUGCAAAGCGACCCGGAUUCUUCACCCUCAUUAUAUCCCUGCUUUUCUCCAACUGACUCAGUAGAGCUUUCCAUGCCACACUGAUUCUGGGUUCAGCCAUAGGACUUGCUUUCAGUCCUUCUUCUUGCACCUCAGCCAUCGACAAGAGGAAAUGCUCAGGCUAGCCUGCUGGAGGAUGAGAGACGUGGAACAGAGCUGAGUCUUCCCAGUCAUCCCUGACAUGUGAGUGAGCCCCGACUAGAGCAGAAGAGCUGUCCAGCAGAGUCAUGCCUAAAUUGCUGACCUUUGAAGGCCUGACAUAAAUGCUAAUUAUUUUAAUAUAUUGAAUUUUGCAGUAGUUUGUUUAUCUGCACUAUUUUGGCAAUAGAUAACUGAUACACCUGAAAACAAACAUACACUUCAGUGCCAAGAUCACAAAUAUCCCAUGAGGAUGAAAUCAC